UUCGUAGAGUUGACGUCAAAACUCCCAAAAAGGAAUAAAAAGAGAUACACCGGCUUUUUAUUGACAUAAAAAAUAUAUAACUUCGACAGACUAGGCUGUAUAGGCUUCGCUCUUUGCCUGCUUAUUGGUGAAUUUAAAAACAACAACAACAAUAUCCUUGCCGGCUUCCGGAUUUUCAUUUCAUUUUAUUAUUAUUAUGAGGAUAUAAUAAUAAUAAAAUGUGAUCAUGGAAGUCAUCAUUAACCUCCAUAGCAUCUGGUCGAUAAGAAUUUACGAAGCAAUUGUCUACGCUGCUAUAAUGCCAUUACCUUGUUUCAAGACGAAGAAAGCCAAGUUUCUUAUAGCAAUACAAUCUCAAGACUAUUCCUGAAGACGGAUCACACCUUCUUGUAGUUUCCAGAAUCCAUUACAUGUCACAAAUUAAAUUCCACCAAGUGCCACCCACGACUGCCCCACCCUUGGAACGAGAGCGCGUGACUGCUCCGGGAUUAAAAAGGGCAGGAUGAUGGUACUCAACCAUAUAUAUACCGAACAAUACCGCAAGUAAUAUAAUAACAAUUUAUUUUAAAAUAUAAAGUUCCAUCUUUA